rnacentral:tRNA from 1 species
GGGGUUGUGGCUCAGUGGUAGAGCGCUUGCCUAGCAUGCAUGAGGCACUAGGUUCGAUCCUCAGAACCA